GGAAAAGAAAUAACAAAUACUUUUCUUCAGGCAUGAAGCCCUUUGGUUGUGCAGCGAUGCUGUUAUCUGUGUUGUAACACCCAGAAGAGUAAGCACAGAAUAUUUACAGUAAAAAUGAACAGUGUGGAACUGUGACAGAUGGGCAUUAAUCUGUCAUCAAUUACAUCGGACACAGAACAGAACAAAGUUGGGAAGCUGAUCCUGAUGCAGAUGUGGAAGCCAGCUCUAAAGAAAAAGCUUUAUCCUCACUCAGAGUCCUGUGACACGGAGAGAAGAUCCAGGAUCAGAAAUUCCUGAUGGAGAUUUGGAAACCUGGAGAAUCUGGACUUUCAGAAACUCAGUCUGCUUCUUUCGUGGAUCAGAAUGUGGCACCAUUUCUCACAGAGUGGAAACCCUUCUGGAUGAGGCUGUUAUUGCUGAGCCAGUGCCAGGCCCCACUUUGGGUGCAGCAUUUGGAGCGGCGCUGAGCUCCGGCUGGUCACACAGCAGAGAAGCAGAGCUUGUUCCCUCAGGCAUGGAACAACACUAAUGUAAUUAUGCAGCUUUUAGGUCUAGAGCUAAUAUUUCCAACAGAAAUCAGAGCUGUGUUAUACCAGAUUGGCCAGUACUAACCCGAGGAUCUCUUUGUGAGAGAGGAUAAAGCCUUUUCUGAUGGAUACAGGGAUAUCUUUCUCAUUUGUGCCAACACCUGAUGCUAAGAAAUUAUGUUACUGAUAUUGGAACUAUCAGCAGAUCUCACUGCAAGUGUUAAACAUGGGACAGAAAUCUCUCUUUUUAAUAAAAAAAUAGGAUUAGAUUGAAACUAACUCCA
rnacentral:lncRNA from 1 species